rnacentral:rRNA from 1 species
ACCGCAUACGUCCUACGGGAGAAAGCAGGGGACCUUCGGGCCUUGCGCUAUCAGAUGAGCCUAGGUCGGAUUAGCUAGUUGGUGAGGUAAUGGCUCACCAAGGCGACGAUCCGUAACUGGUCUGAGAGGAUGAUCAGUCACACUGGAACUGAGACACGGUCCAGACUCCUACGGGAGGCAGCAGUGGGGAAUAUUGGACAAUGGGCGAAAGCCUGAUCCAGCCAUGCCGCGUGUGUGAAGAAGGUCUUCGGAUUGUAAAGCACUUUAAGUUGGGAGGAAGGGCAGUUACCUAAUACGUAAUUGUUUUGACGUUACCGACAGAAUAAGCACCGGCUAACUCUGUGCCAGCAGCCGCGGUAAUACAGAGGGUGCAAGCGUUAAUCGGAAUUACUGGGCGUAAAGCGCGCGUAGGUGGUUCGUUAAGUUGGAUGUGAAAUCCCCGGGCUCAACCUGGGAACUGCAUUCAAAACUGUCGAGCUAGAGUAUGGUAGAGGGUGGUGGAAUUUCCUG